AUACGUAGGGGGCGAACGUUGUCCGGAAUGAUUGGGCGUAAAGGGCGCGUAGGCGGCCCGGUAAGUCUGGAGUGAAAGUCCUGUUUUUAAGAUGGGAAUUGCUUUGGAUACUGUCGGGCUUGAGUGCAGGAGAGGUAAGUGGAAUUCCCAGUGUAGCGGUGAAAUGCGUAGAGAUUGGGAGGAACACCAGUGGCGAAGGCGACUUACUGGACUGUAACUGACGCUGAGGCGCGAAAGUGUAGGGAGCAAACAGGAUUAGAUACCCUGGUAGUCCACACUGUAAACGAUGAAUGCUAGGUGUAGGGGGUAUCGACCCCUUCUGUGCCGCAGUCAACACAAUAAGCAUUCCGCCUGGGGAGUACGGCCGCAAGGUUGAAACUCAAAUGAAUUGACGGGG
rnacentral:rRNA from 1 species